GACGAACGCUGGCGGCGUGCUUAACACAUGCAAGUCGAACGGAAAGGCCCGGCUUUUGUGGGGUGCUCGAGUGGCGAACGGGAGAGUAACCCGUGAGUAGCCUGACAUUGACUGUGGGAUAACUUCAGGAAACUGGGGCUAAUACCGGAAAGGAGCUCCUGCUGCAUGGUGGGGGUUGGAAAGUUUCGGCGGUUGGGGAGGGACUGGCGGCUUAUCAGCCUGUUGGUGGGGUAGUGGCUUACCAAGGCUUUGACGGGUAGCCGGCCGGAGAGGGUGACGGGCCACAUUGCGACGGAUGUGCCGCCCAGACUCCUCCGGGAGGCAGCAGUGGGGAAUAUUGCACAACGGUCGGAGGCCGGAUGCAGCAACGCCGCGGGCGGGAUGACGGCCUUCGGGGGGUAGACCACUUUCGCCUGUGACGAAGCGUGAGUGACGGUAACGGGUAAAUAAGCACCGGCUAACUACGUG
rnacentral:rRNA from 1 species